rnacentral:rRNA from 1 species
GCCAGCAGCCAUAUCACCCUGCAACUCACAACUGACAACCCACCAAAGCAAAGCAGGUGUGAGCCUGGCCAGUAUGUGGAUGGAAGACCUCCUGGAAAAAACUAAGGCUGCUGCUGGAA